GACGAACGCUGGCGGCGUGCCUAAUACAUGCAAGUCGAACGCUUCUUUCCUCCCGAGUGCUUGCACUCAAUUGGAAAGAGGAGUGGCGGACGGGUGAGUAACACGUGGGUAACCUACCCAUCAGAGGGGGAUAACACUUGGAAACAGGUGCUAAUACCGCAUAACAGUUUAUGCCGCAUGGCAUAAGAGUGAAAGGCGCUUUCGGGUGUCGCUGAUGGAUGGACCCGCGGUGCAUUAGCUAGUUGGUGAGGUAACGGCUCACCAAGGCCACGAUGCAUAGCCGACCAGAGAGGGUGAUCGGCCACACUGGGACUGAGACACGGCCCAGACUCCUACGGGAGGCAGCAGUAGGGAAUCUUCGGCAAUGGACGAAAGUCUGACCGAGCAACGCCGCGUGAGUGAAGAAGGUUUUCGGAUCGUAAAACUCUGUUGUUAGAGAAGAACAAGGACGUUAGUAACUGAACGUCCCCUGACGGUAUCUAACCAGAAAGACACGGCUAACUACGUG
rnacentral:rRNA from 1 species